CGUGUAGGCGGUCAGGUAAGUGGGACGUGAAAUGCCUCGGCUCACCCGAGGAGCUGCGUCCCAAACUGCUUGGCUUGAGUAUGGGAGAGGAUGUGGGAAUUCCUGGUGUAGCGGUGAAAUGCGUAGAUAUCAGGAGGAACACCGGUGGCGAAGGCGCACAUCUGGCCCAAUACUGACGCUGAGGCGCAAGCUAGGGGAGCAAACGG
rnacentral:rRNA from 1 species